ACACUAAAAAUAAUCGUAUAGUUUACGAUGGUUUGAUUUUAAGAAUUUUUUUUUCUUUAUAAAGUUUUUUUCGAUUAAGUAUAUUUUAGAAUGAUUCGUUAUUAGUUUUAACUGUAAAGUUGUAGUAAAAAAAUAAAUUAAGUACCUUUUGUAUAAGGGUUUAGUAACAAUUAAACUGAUUUUAAUAAUAGUCCCGAAAUUUAAAGAGUUAAUAAAUUUAUUUAGCAUUAUUUCAUAAUUGUUUUAGAAUUUUUAUUAGAAGUUAUAUAUUAUUCGUUUUUUAAGAUAUCUGGUUAAAUAAAGUAAUUAUUUUAGUUUCUUAUUUUAAGGCAAAAUUUAUUUAUUUUAAAUUAAGAAAUUAACUUUAAGGGGUAAUCUUUUAAGGUAGUGAAUAAGUUAUAUUCAGAAAUAUAAAGUGUGUAGGCUUAAAAUAAGCUUUACUUGAUAAAGUUGUUUUAUCUUUUUCAUAUCAAUGAUUUAAUUAACUUUCAUUAGUGAGUUUUGGUUAACUUAAAAUUAAGAUUUAUAAUGUUAGAAUGAGUAGCUUGAAACUUAAAUUAAAAAUAAGUUAAUUUCAUUUAAUACAAAUGAAUUCGGCAAUAAUUUUUUAGAUUGUUUAACAAAAACAUUUCUUUUAGGCUUAAAUCAAAAGUAAUACCUGCUCUCUGUAAUUAUAAAGGGCCGCGGUAUUUUGACCGUGCUAAGGUAGCAUAAUCAUUAGUCUCUUAAUUAGGGAAUGGAAUGAAUGGUAAAACUAUGAAGUGCUUUAUAGUCUAUAUUUCAGUAAAAUUUGAUUGUUAGUGAAAAUACUAACAAAUUUCUGAAAGACGAUAAGACCCUAUAGAUCUUUAUUAUUUGGUAUUGAUUUUCAUUAGAGGUAUUUUAUCAGUGGUAAAAAAGUUUGAUUGGGGGAAUUAGAGAAUUUAGGUAAUUUCUUUAUGUAGUAGGUUUACACUAUAUUUGUUAAUCUAGUCUUUUAAAUUUGUAAAAAGUUACCUUAGGGAUAACAGCAUAAUUAGUUUAAAGAGUCCAUAUCGAUAAACUAGAUUAUGACCUCGAUGUUGAAUUAUAAUUCCUUUUUGGAGCAGUCUCUGAAAAAGGCGGUUUGUUCAACCGUUGAAAUUUUACAUGAUUUGAGUUCAAACCGGCGUAAGCCAGGUUGGUUUCUAUCUUCAGAUUAGGAAAUGUUUUUUAGUACGAAAGGACCACUUACAUUUAAUAUUUAGAAAA
rnacentral:rRNA from 1 species